AUACGUAGGAGGCGAGCGUUGUCCGAAUUUACUGGGCGUAAAGGGCGAGUAGGCGGCAUGUUAAGUCUCAUGUGAAAUCUCCCGGCUUAACUGGGAGGGGUCAUGGGAAACUGGCAAGCUUGAGGGCAGUAGAGGAGAGUGGAAUUCCCGGAGUAGCGGUGAAAUGCGUAGAUACCGGGAGGAACACCCGAGGCGAAGGCGACUCUCUGGGCUGCACCUGACGCUGAGGCGCGAAAGCAUGGGGAGCGAACCGGAUUAGAAACCCGGGUAGUCC
rnacentral:rRNA from 1 species